rnacentral:sRNA from 1 species
GUACUAGGAAAUCACUUUAUACAUCUGUUUAUAGAUGGAUGCAGAGGCUGAAGAUAAAACGCUGCGUACUCGCUCUAAAGGAACCGAGGUGCCAAUGGAUUCGCUAAUCCAGGAGCUCAGAUUGCGCCUCUGAGAAUAGAGCGAAGUAGACUCCUAGACUCCACAAAGUGCUCAAGGUAAUUCUCCCAAGCCCCUAAGGACCAUCUUCCUGGUCUUUGGAAGCUGACCCAGAGCCUACAGUCUGUCCUGGAGGAUCAGCGAGCUCUGCGUUCUUGAAGGAAGAGCUGAAAGGCUCACAUAACCCUGGCCAUUGUCAAAGAAACUUGGCUUCCCAACACUGCAACCUCCCUGGUUUCGUCUACCUCUCAGACUGCAUCUUCUCAGGUCUCCUUAUUGGUUUCUCAACACCCCAGUCUCUGACACUGGAUUCCCCAAGUGUUGCCUAUGAUUGCUCCAUGGCAAAGAAAAGAAGACCUGAAGAUCAGGCUUUGGGGGUUCCAGUCAACAAAAGGAAAUCCCUGCUAAUGAAGCCCCGACACUACAGCCCAAACGCAGACUGCCAAGAAGACCGCAGUGACAGGACAGAGGACGAUGGCCCCUUGGAAACACAUGAUCACUCUACCGCAGAGGAAAUCAUGAUAAAACCUAUGGAUGAAAGUCUUCUUUCAACUGCACAAGAAAACUCCAGUAGGAAGGAA